AAAUAAAAUUUAAAGUUUAUUUAUUUAUUUAUCGACGCGACUUACCCAAGGGGCAUUUAGGGACGCCGGGAGUCAAAAUGAAAUCGAUAAAAUUGCGACGAGAUUUGAAAGUUUCGGAUCAAGACAUCAACUUUCAUUUUGGACAGACAUUCUUUAUUAAUUAAACACGCGUUAUUUCGGGCUCUGUAGCAUAGUCCAAAACAGAUCUGUAUUUGUAUAUUGAAUUUAUUUGCUUUAUUGGCAUGACCUUACGUACAGGCAGUUGCUAAAUCUUUACAUAUGUGCUAUAUUAAAAACUAUGUGCUAUUUACAAGAAAAUAAGUGAGAAAAGUAUAUCAAACUAAAUGGAAUAAUGUCAAAAUAGACUUAAUUAAGCUUACUUCACAUGAUGAACGCGCGUUUUAGUCAAUUGAACAUGGCGCAACGAAUUUUAGGUAACUUUACUAAAUUUUUAGUGAAGAAAGCCAAGCAAAUGCUGAUUUCGAAAAUCUUCAUUUGAUGAGUGUUAUGUUAAACCUGUCCAGUAUUGGCUGACUAAAGAAAUAUAAACAUAUCCCAUAAAAAAAUCAAAAUCUGUUUAUAGUUUACCUCAACGUUUGUCUACAUAUCUCGAUUUGAAUCUUCAUAGGUACGGUUAAAAAGCGUGUGCGGAAAAUUUCUCUUCUUCAAUGGUUUUUCUGAUAUGUCGUUUUCUUUGACAACUUCGUGAAUUUGAUAUCAGUGACAAAUCCAGGAAUCAGUGAAUAUCAGAAAAACCACUAUAAAAGAAGAAAAAAUUUUCCGCACACGUUUUUUUACUGUGCCUAUGAAGAUUCGAAUUUGAACGAACGUUGAGGUAAACUAUCAACAUAUUUUGAUGUUUUUAUGAAGGUACCUAAUCAAAUGAAAAUUUUCGAAAUCAUGAUUUCCUGGCUUUCUUCACUGAAAAUGUGGUAAAGUUAAAAUAAAAUUCGUUGCACAAUGUCCAGUAGACAAAAACGCACGUUCAUCGUGUGAAGUAACCUUAAAUUAGUUAAUCGUCGACGUUCUGGUUCGAAGGCGUUCAUGUCUUUCGGUAAAACAAGAGUACACAAACUUUGAAAAUAAUAUCGUUUCAAAGCUGGACCCCCAUAGUUGCAGAUUUUAUCAUUGAGAUUAUCAACGACUUUGGUCAACCAUGUUAGCUCGUGAACUACGGAGCGAAAUGGUAAGUUUACAUCUCACUAAAAGGGUGUCCCGAGAAAAUUGCAAUAGCAAUGUGUCAGAUAUAUACACAGCUAAUUAUUAGCGGACAACGAAAAAUCUAAUCCAAGAGAUGAAUUUUGACACCAAGAUUAUUAAAAUUGGUCCAGUAGAACCAAUCUUAUGGCUGUUUUAAACCUGUCUAUGGCCGGUUCACCCAAUGGAACAUUGAAAUCAUGCAUCAGUUCUGGUAAGUAUUACUAGGUUUGACGAUCCCCUUACUACAGCCAUAAUAUUGCUUGUACUACACCAAUUUUAAUAAUAUCAGUCUCAAAAUUCAUCUCUGAGAUUGAAUUUUCGAUGCCCACUAAUGUAAAAAUCUGCAACAUAGCUAUCGCAGUUUCUUUCGGCGAGACACACUGUAUUUACAGUCUACUGCUAAAGCUUAUACUCCAUCUCAUCUUAUCCAAAACUAGCUUUUGUAGUCACAUCUCAUUUCGUGAGUAGUAUAUCAUUUUUUCUGUCUCGAUUGCUAUCCAGUAGAAUUCCAGGUGAUCUGACGGUGACCAAAAGGACUGGGACUAGCAACAGAAUAGAAAUCCAGUUUCGUACAUUUAAUUACUUGUCACGUCCUGCAUGAUUCUUUUGUGAAACUGUUUGAAACUUUGUGUCUGUGUCUUGCACAGGGAAAUGAAUGUGUGGGACAAAUUUGAAAUAGUAAUCUAAUACCGUUGAUGGGAUAUUGAGUAAUUUUAACCAGAAAUGGAUUUCUAUUUUACAACUAGUGCCAGGCCUUUUUCGAGUUCUGAGAUCACCUGGUUAGGAAGAUAUUUUAAUUCAGGGGGGGCUGAAAUUUGUGGAGAGGACCAUUAAAGACGGGUGGUUAGGGGGCAUGCUCCCUGGGAAAUUUUAAAAUCGAGUCUUAGAAAUGCCAUUUCCUGUAAUUUCUGGCGCAAAAUUGGAAAACUUAUAGAGCAAAUAUGUUGCAAAACAUUUGUUUCAAGUUCGAUUUUUUGUUAGUUUGAACGAUUUGCACACGAAAGUCCUGGGAACGAGGUUGAAUGAUUUGCCGAGGAGCACAGCGAGCUAUAAUAGCCAGGAAAGGAAACAUAAUUAAACUCAAGAGUUAACAGAACUACCUGUAGAUGGAAAAGAGCCACAGUAUUGAAAAAAGUGGGCUAGGGGUUAACCCCCUGUGCAAAAUUCUAGGGGGUACAAUGUCUGAAAUAACGAUAAAAAUGGCAUUUUCCCUGAUUAUGAUUUUUCUUGAAAAUUCGUCUUAGAACGCAUUAAGAAAUGUUGUUCCAGAGCAGUGGCGGCGGAACAAUAGGGACGAAGGAAAAACAUCUUCCGGACCUAACAUAUUCCCAACUGUACAUCUUUAAUUAAUACAUCACCGGUUUUCUUUCAUCUUUCCCAAAAUUUUCCUCUACAUUAGACCAACUUUUAUAUAUAAACUUCAAAAUUUCGAAUUUUAUCCAUUUUUCUUUUUGGGAAAGGGGGGGGGGGGCUUAGCCCUUCUCCACUUUCCGCCCCCACCCCCUAACCACUCCCGUUCCGCCGCCUAUGUUCCAGAGACCUUGAAUCGGUGGUGGAAGCGGAAUAUUUUUACUUAAACAUUCAAACAUUCAGUAUUCCUACAUUCAAUAUUUCUGAAAUACCUGUGGUGUGUGUGGAAAUAUUCCAAUUCUGUUUCAAAUAUUCAUAUUCUUACUAUGAAUAUUCAUAUUCCUACCGUAAAUAUUCAUAUUCCUACUUGAAAUUCUUACAACUAAUUUUUAUAUUCAACCUAGUUUUGAACUCAGUAUUCAAUAUUUCGUUUCCAACUCGACCCUGAAAACUUCUCAGGGGAGAGCAUGCCCCCCAGACCCCCCGCAAGAUUCUUGCGGCAUAGAUCCUCGUUUUCACAAUCUAUGUACAGGGUUAUCAUGAAAAAGGCAAUGCAACUUUAGCGUGCUCUUGCGCGCUCAAUAUUAAGUGCAAGGAUCUAUAAAAGAUAUUAAUAAAAUUAGGAUUAUAUCUUAUGGACCAGACCUUUCUUGUUUCAUUCCGAUCACAAAUGACAAAUACAAGCCAAUUAAACAUUGUCAGGAAAAAUCACAUUUUCCACCUUCAUACAUAACAAAAGAAAAAGCGAUUAAUCACUAAUAAGUCUGGCCAAACGAUAGGCUUAAAACAGAACUGACCAAUUUAUCAAAAAUUAUUUAAUUUUAUCGCACCAUAUUUAGGGCUUUUUAAACUAAAAUUCAUAAAUCUUCGAUCCAAACUGGAUUUAUUUUCAAUAGUUUUGCACCCAAUCCUCAACGGUGGGAAAAUGCGAUUUCGACCGGCAAUUUUUGAUUCGUAUUCGGUAAUUUUUCUUUAUAAUGAUGUAAAAAGGUACAUUUGAAAGUUAAAUGCCUGAAUCUUGUAUCCGUGAAAAAAUUAUCGAUAAACUCAACAUAUAACAUGUCUUUUUUACACACCAUGCAGUUUGUUUUGACCCUCUCCCCCUGUCCCAAGUCUUGAACCUUAUUGUUCAAGUUCUCGCGAAUGAAAGGAUAAAUUACUGAAUCGCAGAAAGCAGACUUGACCAUUAUGUAGGCCGACACAAACCAUGCCAUUUGAAGAGCAUGCUAUAGCUCGAACACUCCGGUCGAAAUGAAACUCUUCAACAAACCGUCCAUUGCGUAGAUCCCACAACGUCAGCGUCUUAUGACGAUACGAGCUUGACAAUAGAAAUUCUCCUCCUGGCACCAAUGUCAACGCUCUGAUAUCAUGUGUAAUAUCAACUCUAUGGAGCAUCGUUCCACAUUUAAAGUUCCAAAUCAGCAAAGAAUUACCAUCUAAAAGUGUAAUUAAAAAUUAUAAUAAUAUCUGUAAAGGAAAUGUUACACGAGGCAACUUUUGCUACAACUUAUGACGCACUUUUGCAUAUAUAGCCAUGUUACCGCAACUUGCAAUGCAAUUACCGAGAGAGGCCAUGGUAUCCCAAAAGUUGUCACAAAGAAAUUGUCAACAUGACCCGCAUUCUACUCUGCAAGCUAGUGGAUGAAAAAUGAAAGAAAUAGGUUUACAAAUGUCGGCAGAGUAAACCGUGGGCCAUGUGCACAAUUUCCCUGCGACUCCUUUUUAGAUAACAUGGUUCUAUGCCAGGAAUUGCGUUGUAAAUUGCAACAAAAAUUACCUCGUGUAACAUGGCCUUAAAGGGGCCAUGGGCGACAGAUACGGUUGGGGUGUUUCCCCUUACCGCUGAGUUAAGGCUACUGGUACUGCAAGAUGGCGGCCUAUACAGGGCUCUCUUGUAGGUAUAAAACACGCGUGUUUUUCGAGUGGGCUUCGCGAAAGCUGAAAAAUGACUAAAGUUUUCCGAUCGAUGUUUUUAAAUUUUUGCACAUAAAUGCUCAUUUUAAUGGUAAAUUUCCUACCUAAAAAGCUAAAAACUAAAUGAAAAAGUAAAAUUGAUG
rnacentral:lncRNA from 1 species